rnacentral:rRNA from 1 species
GACGAACGCUGGCGGCGUGCUUAACACAUGCAAGUCGAACGGAAAGGCCUCUUUCGGGGGGUACUCGAGUGGCGAACGGGUGAGUAACACGUGAGUAACCUGCCCUUGACUUUGGGUUAAUUUCAGGAAACUGGGGCUAAUACCGGAUAGGAGCUCCUCUUGCAUGUUGGGGGUUGGAAAGUUUCGGCGGUUGGGGAUGGACUCGCGGCUUAUCAGCUUGUUGGUGGGGUAGUGGCUUACCAAGGCUUUGACGGGUAGCCGGCCUGAGAGGGUGACCGGCCACAUUGGGACUGAGAUACGGCCCAGACUCCUACGGGAGGCAGCAGUGGGGAAUAUUGCACAAUGGGUGGAAGCCUGAUGCAGCAACGCCGUGUGCGGGAUGACGGCCUUCGGGUUGUAAACCGCUUUCGCUCAUGACGAAGCUUUGUGUGACGGUAGUGGGUAAAGAAGCACCGGCUAACUACGUG